CCUGGCGGCGGCGCCACCGCCGCCAGCCCGCCCGCCCGGGCCGGGGCCGGGGGCUCGGGCCGCCCGGCUGCCGGCCGCGGCCUCUCCCUCCCCGAGCCGCGCUUACAUCCCCGCCGGGCGCCGGCCUCCCUGCGCCGCCAGCCAGUACAUGGUGUCCCCCGCGGAAGCCGAGGCCGGGGCGGCCAGACCGGGGGCCGGGAAGGGGGGGCGCCGCCGCCGCGGCUGCCGGGCCCGGAGCUGCUGCCGCCGCCGCUGCUGCUGCUGCUGCCCGGGAGGCGGCUGGCGGCGGAGGCUCGGCUCCCAGUAGCCGCACAUCCCACAAUACACCGCUAAGGAGCCCGACCCGAGCGCUCACCCUCCUCCUCUUCCUCCUCCUCCUCCUCUUCCUCCUCCCCUCUCCUGCCUCGCCGCUUCCCCAGGCACUCUCCCGGCGGCGGCAGCUGCGCCGCCAAAGCCCCGGGCCCCAGCGGCCCCCCACCCCUCACUCGCGCGCUCCCACACUGCCUCCCCCUCCCCGGGGGAAGGCCUUUUAAUUUAUUUAUUCUUCUGGGACUGGGGUGGGGGUCUUGGCUGGCGGGGGAGGGGGUCUCCCCGGGCUCUACCUCCCGCGGCCGGGACUACCCUCCGAGCCGCGGCCGCCGCGGCGUGCGUCCCGGGCCUGCAAAACUGUUUCCAAACUGCCUGGGCAGGAGGCGGGCGCGCGGGGACCCGGGGAGAGGGCUGGGGUCUAAGGGGCCGAGGGUGUGUGUGGACGCUGGGAACCGCGCGGGGAGGCCGGCGUCGACUCAGAGGAGUUGCAAUCGAGGUCCGGGAGUGGCGGCGGCCAAUCAGCGCGCGGCUUCCAUUUUGCCCAAGGACUCACAGUUGGAAGACUGGAGAAGACUUUUUAAAAAGAUCUGGAUUUUUCCUUAUGACUUGGAAUCCAUCUUUGUCUUGUAUAACUAGGUCAUAG
ensembl:lncRNA